UGGGGAAUUUUGGACAAUGGGCGCAAGCCUGAUCCAGCAAUGCCGCGCGCAGGAUGAAGGCCUUCGGGUUGUAAACUGCUUUUGUACGGAGCGAAAAGGUCUGCCCUAAUACGGUGGGCUCAUGACGGUACCAUAAGAAUAAGCACCGGCUAACUACGUGCCAGCAGCCGCGGUAAUACGUAGGGUGCGAGCGUUAAUCGGAAUUACUGGGCGUAAAGCGUGCGCAGGCGGUUAUAUAAGACAGAGGUGAAAUCCCCGGGCUCAACCUGGGAACUGCCUUUGUGACUGCAUAGCUAGAGUACGGUAGAGGGGGAUGGAAUUCCGCGUGUAGCAGUGAAAUGCGUAGAUAUGCGGAGGAACACCGAUGGCGAAGGCAAUCCCCUGGACCUGUACUGACGCUCAUGCACGAAAGCGUGGGGAGCAAACA
rnacentral:rRNA from 1 species